GUAAAGCACUUUCAGUAGGGAGGAAGGUAGUGUAGUUAACACCUGCAUUAUUUGACGUUACCUACAGAAGAAGCACCGGCUAACUCCGUGCCAGCAGCCGCGGUAAUACGGAGGGUGCGAGCGUUAAUCGGAAUUACUGGGCGUAAAGCGCAUGCAGGCGGCCUGUUAAGUCAGAUGUGAAAGCCCGGGGCGUUAACCUCGGAAUUGCAUUUGAAACUAGGCAGGCUAGAGUCUUGUAGAGGGGGGUAGGAAUUUCAGGUGUAGCGGUGAAAUAGCGUAGAGAUCUGAAGGAAUACCAGUGGCGAAGGCGGCCCCCUCGGACAAAGACUGACGCUCAGAUGCGAAAGCGUGGGGAGCAAACAGGAUUAGAUACCCUGGUAG
rnacentral:rRNA from 1 species